GAACGCUGGCGGCGUGCCUAAUACAUGCAAGUCGAGCGGACAGAAGGGAGCUUGCUCCCGGAUGUUAGCGGCGGACGGGUGAGUAACACGUGGGUAACCUGCCUGUAAGACUGGGAUAACUCCGGGAAACCGGAGCUAAUACCGGAUAGUUCCUUGAACCGCAUGGUUCAAGGAUGAAAGACGGUUUCGGCUGUCACUUACAGAUGGACCCGCGGCGCAUUAGCUAGUUGGUGAGGUAACGGCUCACCAAGGCGACGAUGCGUAGCCGACCUGAGAGGGUGAUCGGCCACACUGGGACUGAGACACGGCCCAGACUCCUACGGGAGGCAGCAGUAGGGAAUCUUCCGCAAUGGACGAAAGUCUGACGGAGCAACGCCGCGUGAGUGAUGAAGGUUUUCGGAUCGUAAAGCUCUGUUGUUAGGGAAGAACAAGUGCAAGAGUAACUGCUUGCACCUUGACGGUACCUAACCAGAAAGCCACGGCUAACUACGUGCCAGCAGCCGCGGUAAUACGUAGGUGGCAAGCGUUGUCCGGAAUUAUUGGGCGUAAAGGGCUCGCAGGCGGUUUCUUAAGUCUGAUGUGAAAGCCCCCGGCUCAACCGGGGGAGGGUCAUUGGAAACUGGGAAACUUGAGUGCAGAAGAAGAGAGUGGGAAUUCCACCUGUAGCGGUGAAAUGCCUAAAGAUGUGGAGGAACACCAGUGGCCAAGGCCACUCUCUGGUCUGUAACUGACGCUGAGGAGCGAAAGCGUGGGGAGCCAACAGGAUUAAAUACCCUGGUAGUCCACGCCGUAAAC
rnacentral:rRNA from 1 species